rnacentral:rRNA from 1 species
CCUACGGGAGACAGCAGUGAGGAAUAUUGGUCAAUGGCCGUAAGACUGAACCAGCCAAGUAGCGUGCGGGAAGACUGCCCUAUGGGUUGUAAACCGCUUUUAUGCGGGGAUAAAGUUGUCCACGUGUGCAGUUUUGCAGGUACCGCAUGAAUAAGGACCGGCUAAUUCCGUGCCAGCAGCCGCGGUAAUACGGAAGGUCCGUGCGUUAUCCGGAUUUAUUGGGUUUAAAGGGUGGGUAGGCCGGUCCUUAAGCGUGGGGUGAAAUUUGGGGGCUCAACCCCGGGAGAGCGGGGGAAACUGGAGGUAUUGAGGGAGCGGAAGGUAGGCGGAAUUCGUGGUGUAGCGGUGAAAUGCUUAGAUAUCACGAAGAACCCCGAUUGCGAAGGCAGCAUGCCGCAGCUUUACUGACGCUGAAGCACGAAAGCGAGGGUAUCGAACAGGAUUAGAUACCCGAGUAGUC